AUUGAACGCUGGCGGCAGGCCUAACACAUGCAAGUCGAGCGGAUGAAGGGAGCUUGCUCCUGGAUUCAGCGGCGGACGGGUGAGUAAUGCCUAGGAAUCUGCCUGGUAGUGGGGGAUAACGUCCGGAAACGGGCGCUAAUACCGCAUACGUCCUGAGGGAGAAAGUGGGGGAUCUUCGGACCUCACGCUAUCAGAUGAGCCUAGGUCGGAUUAGCUAGUUGGUUGGGUAAAGGCCUACCAAGGCGACGAUCCGUAACUGGUCUGAGAGGAUGAUCAGUCACACUGGAACUGAGACACGGUCCAGACUCCUACGGGAGGCAGCAGUGGGGAAUAUUGGACAAUGGGCGAAAGCCUGAUCCAGCCAUGCCGCGUGUGUGAAGAAGGUCUUCGGAUUGUAAAGCACUUUAAGUUGGGAGGAAGGGCAGUAAGUUAAUACCUUGCUGUUUUGACGUUACCAACAGAAUAAGCACCGGCUAACUUCGU
rnacentral:rRNA from 1 species